rnacentral:tRNA from 1 species
GUCGGCGUGUCCGAGUGGUUAAGGAAGCAGUCUGCAAAACUGUUGGGGAAACCCGUCGUGAGUUCAAAUCUCACCGCCGACU